rnacentral:rRNA from 1 species
UACGUAGGGUGCGAGCGUUGUCCGGAAUUAUUGGGCGUAAAGAGCUCGUAGGCGGUGUGUCACGUCGUUCGUGAAAACCUGCAGCUUAACUGUGGGCGUGCGGUCGAUACGGGCAUCACUGGAGUUCGGCAGGGGAGACUGGAAUUCCUGGUGUAGCGGUGAAAUGCGCAGAUAUCAGGAAGAACACCCGUGGCGAAGGCGGGUCUCUGGGACGGUACUGACGCUGAGACGCGAAAGCGUGGGGAGCGAACAGG